rnacentral:rRNA from 1 species
ACCCUGGGGAUAACAGGCUUAUCACUCCCAAGAGUUCACAUCGACGGAGUGGUUUGGCACCUCGAUGUCGGCUCAUCGCAUCCUGGGGCUGAAGUAGGUCCCAAGGGUUGGGCUGUUCGCCCAUUAAAGCGGUACGCGAGCUGGGUUCAGAACGUCGUGAGACAGUUCGGUCCCUAUCCGGCGUGGGCGUAGGAUAUUUGAGAGGAGCUGACCUUAGUACGAGAGGACCGGGUUGGACUGGCCGCUGGUGUAUCUGUUGUUCUGCCAGGGGCAUAGCAGAGUAGCCAAGCCGGGAAGGGAUAAACGCUGAAGGCAUCUAAACGUGAAGCCCCCCUCAAGAUGAGAUAUCCCAUAACGUCAAGUUAGUAAGACCCCUUGAAGACGACGAGGUAGAUAGGGCAGAGGUGGAAGUGCGGCAACGCAUGGAGCUGACUGUUACUAAUAGGUCGAGGGCAUAACCA